rnacentral:rRNA from 1 species
UACGGGGGGGGCAAGCGUUGUUCGGAAUUACUGGGCGUAAAGCGUGCGCAGGCGGUGAUGUAAGACAGAUGUGAAAUCCCCGGGCUCAACCUGGGAACUGCAUUUGUGACUGCAUCGCUGGAGUGCGGCAGAGGGGGAUGGAAUUCCGCGUGUAGCAGUGAAAUGCGUAGAUAUGCGGAGGAACACCGAUGGCGAAGGCAAUCCCCUGGGCCUGCACUGACGCUGAGGAGCGAAAGCGUGGGGAGCGAACAGG